rnacentral:rRNA from 1 species
AUUGAACGCUAGCGGGGUGCCUUACACAUGCAAGUCGAACGGAGUGGCGAACGGGUGAGUAAUGUAUCGGAACGUGCCCAAUCGCUGGGGAUAACUACGCGACAGCGUAGCUAAUACCGCAUAAUAUUUGAUCGGCCUAUAUCGCAUUAGCUAGUUGGUUGGGUAACGGUUCACAAGGGCGACGAUCCGAAGCUGGAUUGAGAGGACGACCAGCCACACUGGGACGGAGACACGGGCCAGACUCCUACGGGAGGCAGCAGUGGGGAAUUUUGGACAAUGGGGGAAACCCUGAUCGAGCAACGCCGCGUGUGCGAUGAAGGCCUUCGGGUCGUAAAGCACUGUUGGUAGGAAAGCGGUACCUGAAGAGUAAGCACCGGCUAACUACGUGCCAGCAGCCGCGGUAAUAC